rnacentral:lncRNA from 10 species
GUUUUAUUUUGUUUUUGUUUUAUGUUAUUCCUAUAGUGUCAUGGCUGCCAGCCCCUGGAGGCCUAAUCGAAAUUCGACGGGAGCCUGUCACCACUCAGCCACAUAGCAGAACAACAGCCACAGCCACUGCAUCAGCACAGCACUCAACAGUGUAAAAGACUUUUCUCCCAUUUUCCCACCACAGGCCCCUUCCAUCACUCACUGAUGGAGGGAAGGCAAGGACUCCAUUAUUCCUGCUUAGCAGAUGAGGAAACUGAAGCACUGCAAAGGUGAUUUCCACUCUCCCAACCCCUGCGCUCCACACAUCAACCCCCAGCACAAGGGUACUCUAGGACAGGGACCAAGAAGCCUACUGAGCCUUGGGGAUCUGCACCCUCUUUUCUAGCCAUACCCUGCAUCCUGACAGUAACCAUCUCCUUAGUGGGUGAUAAUCUCUCAGGACUUACCAUACUAAUUUGGGAUGUGAUGGCAGCAUCCUCAUCUUGUUUCCUAUGUUAAAGGGAACGCUUCUAAAGCUUCUCCUCUACUAGGAAAAUCUUGGCCCAGUUGGCGUUUGGUUUGUCCUGUCUUGAAAGAAUGUCUCCCACCACCUUCCUGGGGGCUGUCUUGGACUUUCAGUUUCCUGCCUGAGAAAUGGACUCUUCCCUGCUGAUGAUGAUUAACAGUUUGAGUUGCAACUCCUUCUGGACAUACCAAGUAUCUGUGCCCAGGGCUUAGCCUUGGCCAGGCCACCAGAGAAAAAAAAAUACAACAACAAUAAAAGGAGGGAUGUAUUAUUUCCCUUCUUUGCUUAUCAGGAAGCCAGUGACUUUUAGUAUCAUGAGAAGUGAUCUUUGUUUCAUUUAAUGGGACUUGAAGUAGCCCGCAAGAGAAAUUGUUGACAUGAUUCUAAUAACAGUGGGGACAUGUGGUGGGAAAAAUUCUAAAGAUAGUCCCCCAAGAUACCUGUUCCCUGGCUAUUCAAUCAUACAUUGAUCUAUAUACUGGCAUAAAGACAUUUUUUCAGAUGUAAAUUUUCAAGUCAGUUGACUUUAAGAUACGGAGAUUAUCUGAGCUGGUGUUUUCUCUGGCUGGUAGCGGAAGAGAAUGUCAAAGAGAUUCAUAGCAAGAGGAGGAUUUGAUGCACUCUUGCUGGCUUUGGAGAUGAAGGGGCUCAUGUGCAAGAACCAAAGAGUGACUUCUAGAAGCUGAGAGCAGCCCUCAACUGACACCCAGCCAGGAAACUGUGACCUCAGUCCUAAAACUGCAAGGAACUACACUGCACCAACAACCUGAAUGUACUUGGCAGUAGAUUCUCCCCUAGAAACUCAGAUGACAACUCAGCUCAGCACAUAUCUUGAUUUGCGAGACCUCAAGAAGAGGACUCAGUUAAGCCACACCCAGAUUACUGACACAUGGGAACUAUGAGAGAAUAAAUGGGUGUCAUUUACAGCCGCUAAAUUUGUUUCACUACAGUAGAAAACUAAUGCAGGACAUCUAAUUGGCACUCCCAAAGUGUACUUCCAAAGCCUACAUCUCAGCCCUCUGCAUGCAUGAAACCAAGGUGGGCACACGAAGUUCCUGCUCCCCUCUCCAGCCCUGAGCAGUGUCACCGACUUUUGCUAAUGGGCUGAGGCUUCCGUGUGAUCUUCUGGUUGCUGAGCUACUGGAAAGAGACCCACUUGACUUGCCCAAAGCUGGAACUUCUUUCAGGCUAAUAGGAACAAUCCCUGCUAUUUUCAGAGAGCUGUGCACAAAAUGCUUCCAUUGUCAUUGUUUCACAGAGGUCUCACAGAGACCACCCCAGCUGAGCGGGUUUCUCUCUUGAUAGAAACAAUUAUAUACUCAUUUCCUAGAUGAAAACAAAAUGAGGCCCAAAGAGGGCAGAUGGUUGGCUCAAGGUCACAGAGCAAGCAUGUUAAAAAACUCCUGCUAUAAAACAUAACUUACAUUGGGUGACUAUUGGUGAAUUCCUCAGCUGGUGAUUUGCAAGGCACUGACCUUUUGCAGCUCUAAGCAGUCUACUGACAAAACCUGGUCAUCCAGGCUCUUUCUCCUCAUGUUUGUCUGCACUUAAUGAGUGGAGAUGCGAGGAUGCCUAUGAGCCGAGAUGUAUCUGUUUAACUUCUACAGUCACAGUGAGCCCCAUAUUGCCCCCUUGGCUUGCAAGGCUCUUCGCCCAGCUUGCCACAUGGCUGUCUCUCUCACUUCCUUCAGAGCUUUGCUCAGUGGGGCCUUCUAUAACCAUCCUGUCUAAAAUUGUAAUGCCCCUCCAACCCUACCUCAUGCUUUAUUUUUUUCUCUAUUGCAAGUACAUCUGAUAUUCCACAUGUUUUUAUUUCUUUGUCAUCUAUCUUCAUGAGAACAGGGAUUUUUGUGUGUUUUGUUGACUGCUUUAUCACCG